rnacentral:rRNA from 1 species
CAGUAGCCGCGGUAACACGAAGGGGGCUAGCGUUGUUCGGAUUUACUGGGCGUAAAGGGCGCGUAGGCGGAUUUGUAAGUCAGGGGUGAAAUCCCGAGGCUCAACCUCGGAACUGCCUUUGAUACUGUGAAUCUUGAGUUCGGGAGAGGUGAGUGGAACUGCGAGUGUAGAGGUGAAAUUCGUAGAUAUUCGCAAGAACACCAGUGGCGAAGGCGGCCCACUGGUCCGGAACUGACGCUGAGGUGCGAAAGCGUGGGGAGCAAACAGGAUUAGAUACCCCAGUAGUCCCUGUCUCUUAUAC